rnacentral:rRNA from 1 species
GACGAACGCUGGCGGCGUGCCUAAUACAUGCAAGUUGAGCGCUGAAGGUUGGUACUUGUACCAACUGGAUGAGCAGCGAACGGGUGAGUAACGCGUGGGGAAUCUGCCUUUGAGCGGGGGACAACAUUUGGAAACGAAUGCUAAUACCGCAUAAAAACUUUAAACACAAGUUUUAAGUUUGAAAGAUGCAAUUGCAUCACUCAAAGAUGAUCCCGCGUUGUAUUAGCUAGUUGGUGAGGUAAAGGCUCACCAAGGCGAUGAUACAUAGCCGACCUGAGAGGGGGGUCCGCCAACAUGGGACCGGGGCACCGCCCAAACCUCCAAGGGGGGCAGCAGUAGGGAAAUCUCGGCAAUGGACGAAAGGCUGACCGAGCAACGGCGCGGGAGUGAAGAAGGGUCUCGGAUCGUAAAACUCCGUUGGUAGAGAAGAACGUUGGUGAGAGUGGAAAGCUCAUCAAGUGACGGUAACUACCCAGAAAGGGACGGCUAACUACGUG